rnacentral:rRNA from 1 species
GAUGAACGCUGGCGGCGUGCCUAAUACAUGCAAGUCGAGCGAACAGACGAGGAGCUUGCUCCUCUGACGUUAGCGGCGGACGGGUGAGUAACACGUGGAUAACCUACCUAUAAGACUGGGAUAACUUCGGGAAACCGGAGCUAAUACCGGAUAAUAUAUUGAACCGCAUGGUUCAAUAGUGAAAGACGGUUUUGCUGUCACUUAUAGAUGGAUCCGCGCCGCAUUAGCUAGUUGGUAAGGUAACGGCUUACCAAGGCAACGAUGCGUAGCCGACCUGAGAGGGUGAUCGGCCACACUGGAACUGGGACACGGUCCAGACUCCUACGGGAGGCAGCAGUAGGGAAUCUUCCGCAAUGGGCGAAAGCCUGGCGGAGCAACGCCGCGUGAGUGAUGAAGGUCUUCGGAUCGUAAAACUCUGUUAUGAGGGAAGAACAAAUGUGUAAGUAACUAUGCACGUCUUGACGGUACCUAAUCAGAAAGCCACGGCUAACUACGUG